GUGAUAUUGAAACGCUAUAGUUACGAGUACAAUAGUUCGUAAAAAUUUACUUUUGCCCUAAAAUGUUUUAGGAGGCGAGAGUGCAGUUACGAGCACCGACGCUCGUGAAAUUUUUAUCAAAUGGGUAACCUUUAUUUUAAACAAUACAUUUUUCUGCAGUGUUUCUAUUUAAAAUAUUGCGUAACACUCCCAGCUGUGCAGCUGUGUUGCCACUAUCAAGCACAGACAGCGCGGGAGGAAUAACAAAAAAUGCGAUAGUGCGAAGGAGUGCGAACGAAGUCGAUUCAGCGGGUGCUGCACCGACAAUAAUUUGCGAUUGAUGUCAUUGGCAAAUUAAUUUGCGUUAAAUUGAGUUGUGUUAAGUACAGUGGUGCAGUAAAGUUUUUCAACUUCUUAUGUGUUGUGUGUGCAACGUGAAUACGGAACAGGCACGUGUUAUGUUGAUUGAAAAAAUGAAAAUUAUUCAAGAACAAAAAGAGCAUUCAGGAUUUAUUCGCAUUGAGCCUCUUCUGCAUAAAAAUUACCAGGAGCAUCGGCGAGGACUGAAGAAAAUGUUGGUAUCAGAGGAGGCCAAGACCAGCUUCUAAAUACACAAUCCCGAAUGGUGAACAAAGUGGUCCUUAUGCCGAUCGGAAGCUAAGUGAGGAUGAUUGUUAUAAUAUACCCACGGACUACAGCAGGAGUAGCAGCGACGAGAUUUCUGAAAGCCCACCCUUGACAAGAGUAUCAUUAAGAUUUCAAUUAAAACCUAGAAAACAAGGAAAGAAAGAAUUCCUAAAAGAUGUAAAGAGAUGCGUGAAUACCACCCCAAAGUACAAAAAGUUUGUCAAGAAAAAGAUUCGGAAUGGAAAGAAGAUUAUUGACGUUUCGUCGACAAGUAGAUUAUUUAUCGAAUGUACAGUUGACAAUGUAGUCCAAAACGAAAGAUAACUGUUAGGACCUCACAUAUACGGGAAACACACAAUUUCGUAACUUGCCCUAACUGGAAGUACCUAAUAGUGAAGCUGACGAUUUGGAGAAAUUUCGUGGAAAAUUUUUAGAACUACAAGGGUAUAUUCAAUCUGAGGAUUAUGAUUUGAAAGAUGUUACAGAAUUUUGACGAAGACAUAUUAGCGAAAGAAUUAUUAUCGGAGAAAUCACCACUUCUUGAUGUAGUAGUCGCAGGAUCAAGGAAAACGGUACAAAAAAAAACAAGCAUACAGAACACCAACAAAACAAGUAAUGACAAGAAAUUAAGUAAAGAAACAGAGUCUAUUACAAUGCUGAUACUAGAACAUUCCCAAGUAGAAACACCACAUAAAAAGCCAAGAAAUUCUCGAGGAAAACCAAGAAUUCCGUCAACGGAACAACUUGAAGCAAUAGUUUCUAAUCCCUCUAAGAGGCAAAAAUUAACGUAAGAAACUACUCUAUUGCAAACAGUUUUUAAAACUUGAUAGAAAACAAAAAAAUAUCUACUUUAAAUUUCUGUAUAACGAAACUAGUUCCUGUAAAGUAUGAUUAACCUCAAUUCCUUUAACUUUUUUUUGGAAUUCCUGGGUAUGUUUUUUAUUUUGUACCUUGAUUAUAUAUAUUUUUAAUAUUCUUCAGUCGAGAACGUUUUUCAAACUGUUUUUAAAACUAAGUCGCCGUUUAAUUGGAUUCAUUAUCAAAUUAAGGCCAGCUGCUAGGUCUUUUACAUGUGAUUUUCAGUACAUAUUCAGAAGGUAAUAUUUCCAAUAUUAAUGGACGUAUGGUCGUAAAAUUUUAAAUAUAACAUAUCCACAACUUUCUCUACAUAGCACAAGGUCAGUUUUUUUAAAAACAAUUUAAUCAUCACCUUUUUUUAAUGUAAUUUAUGCAUUAACGUAUCUUUCAAAAUUAGUAUCUCAAUUAUGUAUGGAAAUUGUAGAACACUGUGUUCAACACUGUUUUCAGUUGAUAAAACUCCAUCGUACCAAAUACGUUGGAAAUGAAACAGUCAAAAUAAGCUUGUGUAGUAGAAGCUUUUAGAUGCUUCUUUUUCUGUAUCUCAGUUCCAACAAAAAAAGUGGACGAUAUGUCUGGUACGAUUUCUAAAGUUUGGUAAGAAAAAAACGGUGAAAACCGGGUUCCAAAAUUUCCAUAUAUAAUUGAGAUAUUGAUUUUUUAAAACACGUGAAAGUUUCAACAAAAUUUAAAAAAUACAUGAGAUAACAAA